rnacentral:lncRNA from 1 species
AAUGAAGAUUUCUGCUUUACCUUUUUUUCAUUAAAGAAAGUCCCUUUGAUAUUAAAAAUCUAUUUACUAGAUAAAAUAAUCAAUCAAAAGAAUUAAUACUUAAUUUACGGGUCUUGCACAUGCAACAGCUUAUACCCAACAUAAUGUUGUCAGUCUUUCAUACAGCAUUGGAAUUAUUAUGUGAGAUUCAUUAAUAUUAAAUUUAGGGAUAGUUUACUUUGGAUUUAUUAUCCCCUUUCUUUUUGGCAUUACUUUCAUGGAUUCUUCGGAUAUGUUAUUGUAUUUGGCCAAAUUAAGUAACCCC